rnacentral:rRNA from 1 species
AGUGGACGCUGGCGGUAGGCCUAACACAUGCAAGUCGAACGGCAGCACAGUAAGAGCUUGCUCUUACGGGUGGCGAGUGGCGGACGGGUGAGGAAUACAUCGGAAUCUACUUUUUCGUGGGGGAUAACGUAGGGAAACUUACGCUAAUACCGCAUACGACCUACGGGUGAAAGCAGGGGAUCUUCGGACCUUGCGCGAUUGAAUGAGCCGAUGUCGGAUUAGCUAGUUGGCGGGGUAAAGGCCCACCAAGGCGACGAUCCGUAGCUGGUCUGAGAGGAUGAUCAGCCACACUGGAACUGGGACACGGUCCAGACUCCUACUGGAGGCAGCAGUGGGGAAUAUUGGACAAUGGGCGCAAGCCUGAUCCAGCCAUACCGCGUAGGUGAAGAAGGCCUUCGGGCUGUAAAGCCCUUUUGUUGGGAAAGAAAAGCAGCAGGUUAAUACCCCGCUGUUCUGACGGUACCCAAAGAAUAAGCACCGGCUAACUUCGUG